AUGGCUAAGCUAGCUCUGCCAGGUCCUGUUAUUUCUCUCCUGCUUCUGUUCUUCUUCUCGGGUAAGGUGCAAAGUUGAUGUUUUUUUUUUUCAACAACUCUAUAGAGCAUUCCACAUUGUUGUAAUUUCUUUCCCUGCUCUCUCUCUCUCUCUCUCUCUCUCUCUACAUUUUCACCUAUGUUCAUCCAUGGCUUUUUUUUUUUUGCAGGGGAGAUUUCGAUGUUGGUGAAUGGACAGGUAAGAAUUAAAAAGAACAAUUCUUAAAUGAAUUAGCAAUUAAUUUACAUAUAUACAUGGUGUUGUAGAAAGCUUGGUGUGUGGCAAAGCCUGCAGCACCACAACAUGCACUGCAGUCAGCUCUGGACUAUGCCUGUAACUAUGCGGAUUGCAGCCCUACAAAGAAAGGAGGUUCUUGCUAUGACCCGGAUAGGCCAGUGCACCAGCCUCAUUUGCCAUGAAUGCUUACUACCAGAAGAUGGGAAGAAACCAAUGGAAUUGUCAUUUGAACAAUACUAGUCUCAUUUCCUUGGCAGAUCCAAGUAGGCCUUCAAUUUCAUAAUAAUAAUUUGUUUCAAAAGUUCAGACUUUCUUUUUCAGUAAAUUAAACAUUUUGGUUCUAUACCAUUUUUGCAGGUUACAAUCCCUGCUGCCAAUUUGUGAGUGGUAUGUGUCUAUAACUAUAAUGAGUUUUGCACAUUUUCAUAUGCAGAAAUAUUUGUAUAACUUUACUUUCACUUUCCCUUUUGAAAUUUGCAGGAGGAUCUGGACCUCCACUGCCACAGGAAAAGGAGGCAACUCAAAUCCAAACAGUAUAAUUUAAACCAAGAUUUCAAAUCAUCUUAAUUAUAUCAAAAUCAUUUCAAAUGCUUAAUUAAACUUAAUUAAUUACUAUUAUGCUGUGUUGGGUUUGCAGGAUACUUGGUGUGUGCCUAAGCCAGGAACCCCAGACUCUGCAUUACAGAACAUCAUAAACUUCACUUGUGGAAUAUUAAAAGAAUGCAGUGAAAUACAAGAACAUGGUUCAUGCUACUUUCCAAAUACCCUCAUAAACCAUGCCUCAUUUGCCAUGAAUCUUUACUCUAAGACCGAUGGACGCUACAAUUGUGAUUUCAAUGGCGUUGGCCUUAUCGUUGUCGCUAAUCCAAGUAAGCCAAUUUGUUUGAUAUAA
rnacentral:lncRNA from 1 species